UCUGGUGGUAUGGGAAAUAAAGUAUUGAGGAAUUGGUGGUAGUUAAGGUAAACGGUAAAGGUUUCCCCCUGACAUUACGUCCAUUAUAAAUGGGUUAUAUAGCUGUGUGGAAAGGCCUUGAGUCUACACUGCCAUAUAAUCCAGCCUAACUCUGCCUUUCCCCUGGGCUGAGUGGGUUGCUAGGAGACCAAGUGGACGGAGCUUAGCCUUCUAACUGGCAGCAAUUGGAUAAAAACAAUUAUUCCUCUCCCUCUAAUUGGGACUUUAUUUUUCUUUUCUUUUUGUUGUAUGGAAUGCAUUGCCAAAAGAGAUCAGACAAUCCCCUACAUUAUCCAAUUUCCGUAAGGAACUGAAGACCUGGUGGUGUCGGCAGGUUUUUCAGUAAUUAGAUUGGAAUACCGCCGAUUUCUGGGCCUGAAUAUAUUGCACAAGAUUUCUCUAACUUAAAAUGAUACAUUUUAAUAUAUUGGGUUAUGGUUCCCGUCCCCUUGAUCAGGUCAUGUAAGUGUUAUUUAUUUCUAUAAUUGUAUUUUUACUUUGCUUAAUAAUGUGUUAUUAUGUUUGUUAUGUAAUGUUUGUGUUGUUUUUAUUAUUGGAAACUGCCCUGAGUCCCAUCCGGGAGAUAGGGCGGUAUAUAAAUAAAGUUUUUUUAUUAUUAUUA